UACGUAGGGGGCAAGCGUUGUCCGGAAUCAUUGGGCGUAAAGAGCGUGUAGGCGGCCAGGUAGGUCUGCUGUGAAAACUCGAGGCUUAACCUCGAGAUGUCGGCGGAAACCAUCUGGCUAGAGUCCGGAAGAGGAGAGUGGAAUUCCUGGUGUAGCGGUGAAAUGCGCAGAUAUCAGGAAGAACACCCGUGGCGAAGGCGGCUCUCUGGGACGGUACUGACGCUGAGACGCGAAAGCGUGGGGAGCAAACAGG
rnacentral:rRNA from 1 species